ACACAAUCACACUCACCCUUACACACUCACUUACACACUGACACACUCACCCUUACACACUCACACUCACCCUUACACACACACUGACACACUCACACUCACCCUUACACACUCAUUUACACACUCACCCUUACACACUCACUGACACACUCAGUGCUGUAUCUCACCCCUAUCCCCAUUCUAUCACACUCACCCUUACACACUCAUUUACACACUCAUUUACACACUCACUUACACACUCAUUGCUGUAUCUCACCCCUGUCCCCAUUCUAUCACACUCACCCUUACACACUCACUGACACACUCAUUUACACACUCAUUUACACACUCACUUACACACUCACUGACACACUCGUUGCUGUAUCUCACCCCUGUCCCCAUUCUAUCACACACAUUCUUACACACUCACUUACACACUCACACUCACCCUUACACACUCAUUUACACACUCAUUUACACACUCACUUACACACUCAUUUACACACUCGUUGCUGUAUCUCACCCCUGUCCCCGCUCUGUCCCCGGUUCCUCCCGUUGUUCUGCCCCGAUCCCAGGAAGUCGAACUCAUUCAGGGCGUCCUCGGAGUCGUCGUCAUCAUCAUCAUCAUCUUCAUCUUCAUCAUCAUCGUCAUUGGCCGCCAUGUCCGGCAGCAGAGGAACAGGGGGGAGCUGGGGGGGAUAUGGGGGUGCAAUAGGGGAUAUAUGGGUCAAUGGGGGAUAAUGGGGUAGUAUGGGGGUAUUGGAGUCAAUUGUGGACAG
rnacentral:lncRNA from 1 species